rnacentral:rRNA from 1 species
AACGAACGCUGGCGGCAUGCCUAACACAUGCAAGUCGAACGAGAUCUUCGGGUCUAGUGGCGCACGGGUGCGUAACGCGUGGGAAUCUGCCCUUUGGUUCGGAAUAACAGUUGGAAACGACUGCUAAUACCGGAUGAUGACGAAAGCCCAAAGAUUUAUCGCCAGAGGAUGAGCCCGCGUAGGAUUAGCUAGUUGGUGUGGUAAAGGCGCACCAAGGCGACGAUCCUUAGCUGGUCUGAGAGGAUUAGCAGCCACACUGGGACUGAGACACGGCACAGACUCCUACGGGAGGCAGCAGUGGGGAAUAUUGGACAAUGGGCGAAAGCCUGAUCCAGCAAUGCCGCGUGAGUGAUGAAGGCCUUAGGGUUGUAAAGCUCUUUUACCCGGGAUGAUAAUGACAGUACCGGGAGAAUAAGCUCCGGCUAACUCCGUGCCAGCCGCCGCGGUAA